rnacentral:rRNA from 1 species
GACGAACGCUGGCGGCGUGCCUAAUACAUGCAAGUAGAACGCUGAAGGAGGAGCUUGCUCUUCUGGAUGAGUUGCGAACGGGUGAGUAACGCGUAGGUAACCUGCCUGGUAGCGGGGGAUAACUAUUGGAAACGAUAGCUAAUACCGCAUAACAGUAGAUGUUGCAUGACAUUUGCUUAAAAGGUGCAAUUGCAUCACUACCAGAUGGACCUGCGUUGUAUUAGCUAGUUGGUGGGGUAACGGCUCACCAAGGCGACGAUGCAUAGCCGACCUGAGAGGGGGAUCGGCCACACUGGGACUGAGACACGGCCCAGACUCCUACGGGAGGCAGCAGUAGGGAAUCUUCGGCAAUGGACGGAAGUCUGACCGAGCAACGCCGCGUGAGUGAAGAAGGUUUUCGGAUCGUAAAGCUCUGUUGUAAGAGAAGAACGAGUGUGAGAGUGGAAAGUUCACACUGUGACGGUAUCUUACCAGAAAGGGACGGCUAACUACGUG